rnacentral:lncRNA from 12 species
GAAGAGCAGAAAUAGAAAGCCUUCAUUCAUCAACAGCCUCUCUUUGAUGGCUUUUUUAUUUCUUUUUUUUUUUUUUUUCAGAUUUAGUCAGAAAAAUGGGAAUGUUCCACAUGCCAAAGUCUAUGAUACACAUUUUACUUGCAGUAGCUACACCAGAAUCUUCAUGUUUGUGUAGAGUGAACAGUGUUUCUGGUUCAAAGGCACUUGAGUUGCAGAGGCAGAUUUCCCAUCUUCCUUUGGCUUGGCAUGCUGCAGUAGCUAAACCGAUGGGAUGUUUAGAAGUGUGAUGGAUAAGCUGGAAAACAAACCAAGGAGCAGGAUCUCUUUGAAAGGACCAGAUAAAGGACAAUAGAAAUGAGAACAUGCAGCUGCAAUAUAGCAGGUAUAAUAGUGUAGUGGUGGUUGGUGUUUAUGUGCAUACCUGGCACAGAUAAUUAACUCGUUCAGAAUUUGAUAGAUAAAACACAGAAUAAUCAACAGGAAAAUGCAUGGUCUGACAUCUGAG